CGAAGGGCUAGCGUUGUUCGGAUUUACUGGGCGUAAAGCGCACGUAGGCGGAUUGGUCAGUUAGGGGUGAAAUCCUGGAGCUCAACUCCAGAACUGCCUUUAAUACUGCCAGUCUAGAGUCCGGAAGAGGUAAGUGGAACUCCUAGUGUAGAGGUGGAAUUCGUAGAUAUUAGGAAGAACACCAGUGGCGAAGGCGGCUUACUGGUCCGGUACUGACGCUGAGGUGCGAAAGCGUGGGGAGCAAACAGGAUU
rnacentral:rRNA from 1 species